AGGCAAGGGGCAAAGAGUGAUUCUAUUCACCCAAAGAAGAUCCAUUCUUCAUCUGGCAUAGCUUAAGAUCAACCUGUGAAAACAAAAUGUCACCACAUGAUCAGAGACAAGAGAGGAUAUCAUUCUGAAAAUGGAGGCAAAAGAGGAAAUUGAUCAGAAGGGCUGCUGACAGUGUGGAGCAAAGGCUUUGAAAACCCUUGGAGGAGACAGGUGCUGUUCUCCCUAGAGGACUGCCCUACAUGUGGCACAGACCGGCAGAAAGGAUGGAGUGUCUGCCCUGGCUGCCAGCCACAGCAGGUGCACAGGUAAAGAACACCACCACCUGCUGCCAUCCUUGAUGCUGUGGACCAGAGGCCAACAGAUUCUAUGCAGUUGGAACAUAGAAAGGCAUGAGCCAACCCAUGGGCAUACAGGUGUGGUUCGAGCACAAAGGCCUGCCAUGUGCUUAGUAGUUCAUAGACUUGAAUUUGUCCUAUGUCCAAUGCAAGUGUGAAUCAACCAAACUGGCAUAGCACCGUUCUGGUCACCCAUCUCAGGAUCCCUUGAAACGCCAUGCUGACCAGUUAGAGCUGUCUAUUUGUUGUGCUGUUGUCCUAGAACUUGGACCGAGGGGGACAACACCUUUGAUAUGACUUUUGGAGCUCCACAGGGCAUCUGGUCAACCUUGCAUUCAGGCUGGAGGGUGGAAGAGCAAUUUGAAGGGAAGAAAUGAGGACAGGGUCCACACUAUUCCUGGUCCAGGCUUGGGGCAUUCUUCUUGGUUAGCUCUGCAUAUCCCAAUCAGUCCCAGGUGCUGGGGGACUGAAAACUUUAAAGAAGGCACUGCAAAGCCUUGGAUCCCCUAAAGGCUCACACAGUGGCUCCGUUUGGCCACAGGCAGUACUUGCUGCAGCUGCCUUGUAACUGGGAUCCCAACCCACAUAUGUAUGUAUUGUUACUAAACAUUGGGUGUUUGCUAACAGUGUUCCCUCCACCUGAUGGCCCUUCCCGCCAUCCCAGCCUUUACCCAGACAACUGUUACCAUGAUUUCAGAUCCAGCUCAGGCAUCACUGUCUUCACCAAGUCUCCCCUAAGCCUGGGUGAACCACCUCCUCCUCUACGCUUUCCUUUGUCGCAGCACUCAGACCACCACGUGGUAUGGUAAUAGUGUCUGUGUCUGUUUUCCCAAGUAACUGGUGAUCUCAAGGUCAGAGAUUAUUUCUUUUCAUCUUGUAUUUUUAGUCCCCUGCAGAGUAAUGGAUACAUCGUUGGUGUUCGAUAAAAUGCCUGCCUAAUAAUAAGCGACUAAAGGAAUGUGUGAAGGGCAUGAAACUCUUUAGUAAUAAUUAUAAGGGUAUUUGCACAGAUUCGUUGUCAUUUUUAAACAUCUAAUUUGAAAUGUUUCUUCGCCAGCAAACAUGAUGUUCCUUUCAGCUCUCAUGAUCCCUACUUGAAUUGUCCUGGGGUUGGGAACUCAGUACUUAGGGUUACAGAACCUUCCACGGCUUUUUCCUACACAGAAUGUAUGUAACACCAUCAGGACAGCGACUGCCACACUGUCAGUGGGCAACACAUUGCUCACUAUUGUUGGGAGACUUGAAUUUUAAUUCUGGUUAUAGUGGGCUAUUUUUCAGCCCAAACUCUCCUAAUAAAAACAGCUAAACAUGCUAGGUAAAUUAUUAUUGGGCACCAUUUUUUUUUAAAACCCAGUACAUAACAAAGCAAGCAACAUGUGUGAGAACCAGCUGAGAAACAGACAACAGAAACAAAUCUGGGAUCACUUUAAGAUCUUGAAAUUAUUAGAUCUUGAAUAACUGUGCUUACUGUAGUGGGUUGCGACAUUGCCCACCACCUGUGGAAGUCUGGCCUGCAGACCCUGACUCAACGACAGGAGAGUGGAUGCACCCUCACACCAUUACAGUGAUACAUGCGGGCUGGGGAUGGCCAUUGGCUUUUUUCAGAGCAUGAAAUGCAACUGAUUGACCAAGACCCUCUGUCCAUUCACACAUUUAUUUUGUCAAGAUUUUAUAAGAGGUUCUAAGUUAACACACUUGUGGAUAAUUAACAUGGUUAAAAGAGUGGUUAUAUGAAUAAUAAAAGCUUCCAGUUCUGGGCCCAGGGUAAACACUAUUUAUUAACAGGUAAUUGCCCUCUGAUCUCCCCCUGAGAGGGACCGUCCAGCACGAAGUUUACAUGAGUAAACAGAGAAGAGACAAAGGGAUGUGGCGUAAACAGACCUCAACUGGGAAAGCCUCUUAUCAUCCUCAUCUUCUCCCUAACUUAAUGGACUGGCCUGCCACAUUCAGCCUGCCUCAAUAAAACCUUUUGGCCUUCCAAAAGGUUUGAGACUAAUUUUCCUGAUACAUCUUUAAUAUUUUGCCAUUCACCCUGAGUGUACAUCAACAGUGGUGUGAAUCAUGGCUCCUCAAAGAUGUCCCUGUCCUAGUCUCUGGAACCUGUGAAAAUGUUGCUUUAUAUGGUAAAAGGAACUUUGUGGAUAUGGCGAAAGUAAUAAUUUUGAGAUUGGGGAGAUUAUUCUGGAUUAUCCAAGUGGGCCUAAUGUAUCACAAGGAUUCUAUAAGAGGGAAGCAAGAGGAUCAGUGUCAGAGAGAAAAAAAUGUAAGCAUGUAAGCAAAAGUCAGAGAGGAGUAAAGAGCUUACACUUCUGACUUUUAACAUGGAGGAAGGGGUCACAAGUUGGCAUGUAUUUGGCUUCAGGAAGCUAUAAAAGGCAAGAAAAUGGAUUCUCCCCUAGACCCUCCAGAAGAAAGCAAGGUCUUCAAUACUUUGAUUUUAGCCCAGUGAAAGUGGUUUCAAAAUCCUGACCUCCAGAACUUUAAGAUAAUACAUUUGUAUUGUUUUAAGCCACUAAGUCACUUAUUACAGGAGUAAUGUGAAACUAAUGCAUUUAUUAUGUUUAAAAAAGUAAAGAUUAGCUUGAAGAUAUCUCUGAAAAGAUAAAACUACAGUUAGAUUUUAAAAAAUAACUAAAUAGUACAUCUAGAGAUUAAAAACACCAUAGCUGACAUUUAAAACUCAGUGGCUGGGUUCAAUACCUAAUUCAACACAGCUGAAGAGAGAAUUGAUGACCUGGAAGUUAAAUCAGAAGUCCAAAUGCAGCAAAGAGAGACAAAAAGAUAUGCAAUAAGUUAGAGAGACUGAAGUGGUAAAGUCUAAUUUAAAUUUAAUCAGUGUCAAGAAGGAAAAGAGUGGAUGGAAAAAGAUAAUAUCUCAGGAGGUAUUGGUGCCUUUCUCACUUUCCUCCAACUUGGUUGCUGCUCUUGGUUGGGGGCCAUCCGACACCUAGGCAGGAGGAUGGUAGUCACAAGAUGAAAAAGUCACUGGAGUUAGUCAACUCUAAUUAUGAAAAGUAGAAAGUACAUGCUGGGUUACAAGAAGAUUCUGAAGUCGAUCAGACAAAGGAAAGUGAAAUUGGUCAUCCUCUCUAACAACUUCCCAGCUUUGAGGAAAUCCAAAAUAGAAUGCUAUGAAAUGUUGGCCAAGACUGGUGUCCAUCACUACAGUGACAAUAACAUUGAAUUGGGCACAUCAUGAGGAAAGUCGUACAGAAUAUGCACACUGGCUGUCAUUGAUCCAGGUGAUUCUGAUAAUAUUAGAAGCAUGCCAGAGUAGACCGAUGAGAAGCAUACUAGGCAAAAUUUUCUUUAAUAAAACUUGCCAGAGCUUGUUUUAAAAACAUUUUUUAAAAGAGGUAUCGGCUGAAAUUUUCUACUGCUGAUGAACAUCAAUGAGUAGAUUUAAGAAUCCCAAUUAAUCCUGGAUAUUUGGGGUGGCUUUAUAGAGGCAAUAUAGUAUGGUGGUCUAGAACAAAGAUUUUUGAAGUUUGUGAGCGCUAUUGAAUUCUAGUUUUGCCACUUAUUAGCUACAUAAUUUUGGGCAAGUAAAUUGAUCUCUCUGAGCCUCCAUCUCCUGAUAUAUUAAAAUAGGGAUAGUAUCUGAUUUAUUGGUUGGUUAUGAGGAAUAAAUAUGUAUAAAUGUGAUUAGCAUAGUAAUAGGUCCAAAGUAAUGUGCAGUACAUAAUUGCUGAUAUUUUCAGUAGUGUUCAAAGUAUAUUUUCUCAUGAUGAGUUGAAGUCUGCUUCCUGAUAAUUUUCAUUCAUUCAUCUCUCUUUUUUUUUUUUUAGACAGGGUCUCCCUCUGUCUCCCAGGCUGGAGUGCAGUGGCAUGAUUUUGGCUCACUGCAACCACCACCUCCCAGCCUCAAGCAAUCCUCCCACCUCAGCCUCCUGAGUAUCUAGGACCACAGGCAAGCAUCACCACACCUGGCAAAUUUUUGUAUUUUUUGUAGAGAAGGGGUUUUGCCAUGUUGCCCAGGCUGGUCUUAAACUUCUGGGCUCAAUCGAUCCUCCCACCUCGGCCUCUCAAAGUGCUGAGAUUACAGGUGUGUGCCACCAUGCCUAGCCUCCACUCAUUCAUCUUAGUUCUGAUUUCUGGAGAAGCACUGAAUAGGUCUGCUUCCUAGUAUAUCUAUGCAUUCACUCUUUAACUUUUUAAAACUCUUCAACUGCAGAGGAGCAGGGCCAGGCGAACACCAGGACUCCCUGCACUGGUCAUGAUAAACCAGUAUUUCAUAUAGCUGCAACAAUUUUCUUGGCUGUGUGAAACCUCUCAAAGACUCCUGGGAGUCUCAGAAUUCUGGAGUGUGAGAGCUGCAGUGGAGUAUAAGAAUCCGGCAUGCGUAUUCUGCAGGUGAAGAACAGGAGGUACAGGGAGUGGAAGCGGCUCAGCUAGACUCAGCUGGUGGUUGAGUCAUCCACCUGCCUCAGCCUCUGAAAGUGCUGGGGUUACAGGCAUGAGCCACGGUGCCGGGCCUCUGCUCUGUAUUUAGCGCAGACUUUACAUCUGCCUGGUCAACCGGACCACGAUCAAGGAUGUGGCAAAUAUUCUCUUUGUAGCUUGAUGAUGGCUUUUCUAAAUUUGAAAAUCCUUUCAUUUUAAUUUCCAAAAGUCCUUUUAUCAUUUAACUGAAUUCUUCUAGUGCUUUUUUGUUAGGAUGUUUUUGGCUCUUCCAAGAAUUACCUUCCCACGGGAGUUGCUUUAAGUGGGCCUGGUGCUCAUUCACUUGCUGAUGUUUCUGACUCUGUGACUCUCCAUCUUUAAAUUUGCCUGAGUUUCAUCACUUCCUUUUACCAAGUUCUCCUGCCUCUUUUUUUUUUUGAGACAGAGUUUUGCUCUGUUUCCCAGGCUGGAGUUCAGUGGCAUAAUCUCACUCACUGAAACCUCUACCUCCCAGGUUCAAACAAUUCUCCUGCCUCAGUCUCCUGAGCAGCUGGAACUACAGGUGCACACCACCAUGCCCACACCACCAGGCCAGGCUAAUUUUGUAUUUUUAGUAGAGACAGGAUUUCACCAUGUUGCCCAGGCUGGUCUCGAACUCCUGACCUCAAGUGAUCUACCUGCUUUGGCUUCCCAAAGUGUUGGGAUUACAGGCAAGAGCCACCUCGCCCAGGCUCAAGUUCCCUUCUGAACUCUAUUUUUAUUUAUGUGUUUCAUAUACUUUACCUUAAUUCUUAGCAAGGUAAGUCAGUUGCUCUAGAAAGUGGGGUUGAUGGGGAGGAGAUAAACCACAGGAAUAUUCUUUUCUUUUCCUUUUUUUUUGAGACAGGGUCUCACUCUGUUACCCAGGCUGGAGUGUGGUGGUAUGUUCUUGGCUCACUGCAGCCUCACCCUCCCAAACCCAGGUGAUCCUCCACCUCCACUUCCCAGGUAGCUGGGACCACAGGUGUGCACCACCAUGCCCAGAUAAUUUUUCGCGUUUUUGGUACAGAUGGGCUCUUGCUAUGUUGCUCAGGCUGGGUCCCAGCGAUAUUCUACCAAGAAUUCAGUAACGUGUAAGCACCACCCAGUUUCACGUGCUUCUCCACCCGCUGCUGAUCACCUGAAGCGCACACAAAUGCCUCUCUCAGGGUGUGUGUCUAUGAAGACUGGCUAUUUUAUCUCCACUCUUUUUUACAUCCUAAUAAUAGUGGCUGAGUUAUGUGGGCUGUUGAUACACAUUCCUAGCCUAUUAGGGCAUACAUCCUCCCAAGAUGGCCAUUUAUUUAGGCUUUUAAUGUCUCCGUUUAUAGAUGCAACUUCAGCGUUUAGGGCCUGGUAGCUUUUGAAUGAUUUUAGGCUUCAUGAAAACAGCGCCAUUUCAUUUUUACCACCAUUUUCUGAAAUCUGACGGCAAAAAAGAAGUGGUGCUGUUUUCAUGAGUCGACUUAGCUGGGGUCCCACUGCCAGGGAGUACAGGUUCCAUACAGCCAGGGUUGGGAGCAAUCAUUUAUGUAUUUUUUUCCAUAGGAAAAAUAUAGGCCUUUCAAUGCUAUAAGAGCAAUUUCAUUUAAUGCAUAGGAAAUUAUGUUGGCAUACAACCCAAAACUAUCUGUGGAAUAAUUUUUAGUAUCACUCAUGAUAAUUUUUAACAUGUCAAAGUGGAGAAUUGGACUCACCACCCUUGGAAAGCCUCCUGUCGGAGAACUUUUGAAAGCAGCGCUGAAAUGAGGUGACUGUGUAACUCCGCGUCAUGUCAGACCCGUCCAGCCAUCUUCUGAACUUGCUGGUCACGGUCAGCCUUCGAGCUCCCAUGUCGUCUAACUCCUCUGCAUUGUUCAAAAUGGCCUGAAGAACUUCUGAACACAGACAGUUGUCCAGCCCAGCAGGUCCAAGGCCACCGCUGCUUGGGCUGUUAUCAGCUUGAACUCUGCACCGGCCAUCUCCAGGCGUGCUUCCCUGUUUUCUUGGGCUGCUAUAACCAAGUACCACAGACCGGGCGCCUACAGUAGUUGUAUCCCAUGUGGUAGAUUCACAGCAGAAAUCGAUCCUGUCACCAUCUGGAGGCCGAGCCUGAGAUCAGGGUGUCCGCAGACUUGGUCUCCUCCGAGGCCUCUCUCCUGAGCCUACCCAUCUGGAGGAAAUGAAACACUUUCUCUCAUCCUCUGGAAGCCUGAGCUCUCCUUUCCCUCGCAGGGAGAGACACCUGUUUGUUUUUACUGUUGGAAAGAAUAGAAGAGGAUGUUCCAGAACUGAGUCGGACACCCUGGAAAUGAUUCGUCCCAGGUUGGAGCAUGGACGUGAAUGGAGGUGAGUCAGCUUCAGCCAUGCCAUGAGGACAGUGCCUUAGGAGGCGGCAGAGACACCAGAGAAAUGGAACCCAAGUCAUGGAAUAACCUCAUACUGCAGAGCCACUCUGCGAAUCCUGGGCUGCUCACCUCUGGACUAUCACUUGAGAAAUAAAUAAACUUUUCAGUCGUUAA